CCUACGGGAGGCAGCAGUGGGGGAUAUUGCACAAUGGGCGGAACCCUGAUGCAGCGACGCCGCGUGGGUGAAGGAGUGCUUCGGCAUGUAAAGCCCUAUCGGCAGGGAAGAAGCAAGACGGUACCUGACUAUUAAGCCCCGGCUAACUACGUGCCAGCAGCCGCGGCAAUACGUAGGGGGCGAGCGUUAUCCGGAUUCACUGGGUGUAAAGGGAGCGUAGAUGGUCAUGGUAGACAGGGGUGAAAGCCCGGGGCCCAACCCCGGGACUGCCCUUGGAACUGGAUGGCUGGAGUGCGGGAGGGGCAGGCGGAAUUCCUGGUGUAGCGGUGAAAUGCGUAGAUAUCAGGAAGAACACCGGCGGCGAAGGCAGCCUGCUGGACUGCGACUGACGUUGAGGCUCGAAAGCGUGGGGAGCGAACAGGAUUAGAUACCCUAGUAGUC
rnacentral:rRNA from 1 species